UUGCGGUUAAAAAGCUCGUAGUUGAAUCUGUGUCCCACGCUGCCGGUUCGCCGCUCGCGGUGUUUAACUGGCAUGAUUGUGGGACGUCCUACCGGUGGGCUUAGCCUUUCGGGGCGGCCCAACUAAUAUCCCAUCGCGGUGCUCUUCACUGAGUGUCGAGGUGGGCCGGUACGUUUACUUUGAACAAAUUAGAGUGCUUAAAGCAGGCUACUUUCGCUUGAAUACUGUGUGCAUGGAAUGAUGGAAUAGGACCUCGGUUCUAUUUUGUUGGUUUUCGGAACCCCGAGGUAAUGAUUAACAGGAACAGAUGGGGGCAUUCGUAUUGCGACGUUAGAGGUGAAAUUCUUGGAUCGUCGCAAGACGGACAGAAGCGAAAGCAUUUGCCAAAAAUGUUUUCCUUAAUCAAGAACGAAAGUUAGAGGUUCGAAGGCGAUCAGAUACCGCCCUAGUUCUAACCAUAAACGAUGCCAGCUAGCGAUCCGCCGAAGUUCCUCCGAUGACUCGGCGGGCAGCUUCCGGGAAACCAAAGCUUUUGGGUUCCGGGGGAAGUAUGGUUGCAAAGCUGAAACUUAAAGGAAUUGACGGAAGGGCACCACCAGGAGUGGAGCCUGCGGCUUAAUUUGACUCAACACGGGAAACCUCACCAGGCCCGGACACCGGAAGGAUUGACAGAUUGAGAGCUCUUUCUUGAUUCGGUGGGUGGUGGUGCAUGGCCGUUCUUAGUUGGUGGAGCGAU
rnacentral:rRNA from 1 species